AGUUGCCAGCAUUCGGUUGGGCACUCUAGAGGGACUGCCGGCGACAAGUCGGAGGAAGGUGGGGAUGACGUCAAAUCAUCAUGCCCCUUAUGACCUGGGCUACACACGUGCUACAAUGGGCGGUACAAAGGGCUGCGAACCCGCGAGGGGGAGCGAAUCCCAAAAAGCCGCUCUCAGUUCGGAUUGCAGGCUGCAACUCGCCUGCAUGAAGCCGGAAUCGCUAGUAAUCGCGGAUCAGCAUGCCGCGGUGAAUACGGUUCCCGGGCCUU
rnacentral:rRNA from 1 species